GGGUGUGAGGGGACCUCCUGGGAGAGUAGGAGCUGGGGGGCCUCAAGGAUAUAGAGGAGAUGCAGGAGUUCCAGGGAAACCAGGACCUAAAGGCCUGCAGGGCCAACCUGGAGCCAAGGGGGAGACAGGACCCGAUGGUGAGAAGGGUGGGGUUGGAAGAACUGGAGUGAAGGGAGGA